rnacentral:rRNA from 2 species
GACGAACGCUGGCGGCGUGCCUAAUACAUGCAAGUAGAACGCACAGUUUAUACCGUAGCUUGCUACACCAUAGACUGUGAGUUGCGAACGGGUGAGUAACGCGUAGGUAACCUGCCUGGUAGCGGGGGAUAACUAUUGGAAACGAUAGCUAAUACCGCAUAAUAUUAAUUAUUGCAUGAUAAUUAAUUGAAAGGUGCAAUUGCACCACUACCAGAUGGACCUGCGUUGUAUUAGCUAGUAGGUGAGGUAACGGCUCACCUAGGCGACGAUACAUAGCCGACCUGAGAGGGUGAUCGGCCACACUGGGACUGAGACACGGCCCAGACUCCUACGGGAGGCAGCAGUAGGGAAUCUUCGGCAAUGGACGAAAGUCUGACCGAGCAACGCCGCGUGAGUGAAGAAGGUUUUCGGAUCGUAAAGCUCUGUUGUAAGAGAAGAACGGGU